rnacentral:rRNA from 1 species
UACGGGGGGAGCAAGCGUUGUUCGGAAUUACUGGGCGUAAAGGGCUCGUAGGCGGCCAACUAAGUCAGACGUGAAAUCCCUCGGCUUAACCGGGGAACUGCGUCUGAUACUGGUUGGCUUGAAUCCGGGAGAGGGAUGUGGAAUUCCAGGUGUAGCGGUGAAAUGCGUAGAUAUCUGGAGGAACACCGGUGGCGAAGGCGGCAUCCUGGACCGGUAUUGACGCUGAGGAGCGAAAGCCAGGGGAGCAAACGGGG